AGUAUAGUGUCUGAAAAAGAGUAAUUUUGAUAGAAUUAAGCAUGCAGAAAUUCUUCUGCCUUUACUA
rnacentral:tRNA from 1 species